rnacentral:hammerhead_ribozyme from 1 species
AGCGAAACCCGCCCGGCCGAGCCGGGUGUGGUCAUCAGGGCGUGGCGGCCCUGAUCUGAUGAGCAGCCAAG